rnacentral:rRNA from 1 species
GUCUAGGCCCUGCCACCCAGAAAGCGCCUGAUCUCACUUGACCUCGGAAGCUAAGCAGAGUCGGGCUGGUUAGUACUUUGGUGGAAGGCCACCCGGGAAUACUAGGUGCUAUGUAGACU